rnacentral:lncRNA from 1 species
AGGGGAAGGGGUGCGUUUAGGGCAGGGGAGCGAGAAGGCUCGGGGGCGGGCUCAAGGCUCAGGGCCAGGACUCCAGGGGGCGUGGUCUGGCUCGGGGGGCGGGGCUUGUAGGUUACUCAGUGGCAAGCCGGAGUUGAGGCGUUUAAACCCGCGUGUCCCGCAGCUCCGGACUCAGGACUUGUCCUAUUUCCGAGAUAUGCCGCGGGCCGAAGGAUACCUGGCGCGGAUCCGGCCGGCUCAGCUCACGCACCGCGGGACGUUCUCCUGCGUGAUCAAGCAAGACCAGCGCCCCCUGGCCCGGCUCUACUUCUUUCUUAACGGUGGGGCGGGGCGCGGCCGCGUGAGUGAGCGGGGUCGGGAGAGGGGUGGGGCUCGUGCCUGGCUGACGUGCGCGCCCCCGCAGUGACGGGCCCGCCCCCGCGGGCGGAGACAGAGUUGCAGGCCUCGUUCCGGGAAGUGCUGCGCUGGGCGCCGCGGGAUGCCGAGCUGAUCGAGCCCUGGAGGCCCAGCCUGGGCGAGCUGCUGGCCAGGCCCGAGGCUCUGACGCCCAGCAAUCUGUUCCUGCUUGCAGUCCUCGGGGCCCUCGCAUCAGCGAGUGCGACAGUGUUGGCGUGGAUGUUCUUUCGAUGGUACUGCAGUGGCAACUAACAAAGGUAUCUUUCCUCCUUCCCUAUCCUAUUUCC